rnacentral:rRNA from 1 species
UUAAGCGAAUAAGCGUACACGGUGGAUGCCUAGGCAAUCAGAGGCGAUGAAGGACGUGCUAAUCUGCGAAAAGCGUCGGUAAGGUGAUAUGAACCGUUAUACCCGACGAUAUCCGAAUGGGGAAACCCAGUAUCCAAUGGAUACUAUCAUUAACUGAAUCCAUAGGUUAAUGAGGCGAACCGGGAGAACUGAAACAUCUCAGUACCCCGAGGAAAAGAAAUCAACCGAGAUUCCCCUAGUAGCGGCGAGCGAACGGGGAGCAGCCCAGAGUCUUAAUCAAUAGCAGUGUCAGGAGAACGGUCUGGAAAGUCCGGCAGUAAAGGGUGAUAGCCCCGUAUCUGAAGAUGCUGUUAUUGUGAACUCGACGAGUAGGGCGGGACACGUGUUAUCCUGUCUGAAUAUGGGGGGACCAUCCUCCAAGGCUAAAUACUCCUGAUUGACCGAUAGUGAACCAGUACCGUGAGGGAAAGGCGAAAAGAACCCCGGCGAGGGGAGUGAAAAAGAACCUGAAACCGUGUACGUACAAGCAGUAGGAGCCUCUUUAUGGGGUGACUGCGUACCUUUUGUAUAAUGGGUCAGCGACUUAUAUUCUGUAGCAAGGUUAACCGUAUAGGGGAGCCGUAGGGAAACCGAGUCUUAACUGGGCGAAUGAGUUGCAGGGUAUAGACCCGAAACCCGGUGAUCUAUCCAUGGGCAGGUUGAAGGUUGGGUAACACUAACUGGAGGACCGAACCGACUAAUGUUGAAAAAUUAGCGGAUGACUUGUGGAUGGGGGUGAAAGGCCAAUCAAACCGGGAGAUAGCUGGUUCUCCCCGAAAGCUAUUUAGGUAGCGCCUCGUGAACUCAUCUUCGGGGGUAGAGCACUGUUUCGACUAGGGGGUCAUCCCGACUUACCAACUCGAUGCAAACUGCGAAUACCGAAGAAUGUUAUCACGGGAGACACACGGCGGGUGCUAACGUCCGUCGUGAAGAGGGAAACAACCCAGACCGCCAGCUAAGGUCCCAAAGUCAUGGUUAAGUGGGAAACGAAGUGGGAAGGCUCAGACAGCCAGGAUGUUGGCUUAGAAGCAGCCAUCAUUUAAAGAAAGCGUAAUAGCUCACUGGUCGAGUCGGCCCGCGCGGAAGAUGUAACGGGGCUAAACCAUGCACCGAAGCUGCGGCAGCGACACAAAGUGUUGUUGGGUAGGGGAGCGUUCUGUAAGCCUGCGAAGGUGUACUGUGAGGUAUGCUGGAGGUAUCAGAAGUGCGAAUGCUGACAUAAGUAACGAUAAUGCGGGUGAAAAACCCGCACGCCGGAAGACCAAGGGUUCCUGUCCAACGUUAAUCGGGGCAGGGUGAGUCGACCCCUAAGGCGAGGCUGAAAAGCGUAGUCGAUGGGAAACGGGUUAAUAUUCCCGUACUGGUGGUAACUGCGAUGGGGGAACGGAGAAGGCUAGGUUGUCCGGGCGACGGUCGUCCCGGUUCAAGCAGGUAGGCAGAGUGAUUAGGCAAAUCCGGUCACUUAAUGCUGAGAUGUGAUGACGAACCACCAAGGUGGUGAAGCAAUUGAUGCCCCGCUUCCAGGAAAAGCCUCUAAGCUUCAGGUUACCAACAAUCGUACCCCAAACCGACACAGGUGGUCAGGUAGAGAAUACUCAGGCGCUUGAGAGAACUCGGGUGAAGGAACUAGGCAAAAUGGUGCCGUAACUUCGGGAGAAGGCACGCUGGCGGUAGGUAAAGUCCCUCGCGGACGGCGCUGAAGCCAGUCGAAGAUACCAGCUGGCUGCAACUGUUUAUUAAAAACACAGCACUGUGCAAACACGAAAGUGGACGUAUACGGUGUGACGCCUGCCCGGCGGCCGUAACUAUAACGGUCCUAAGGUAGCGAAAUUCCUUGUCGGGUAAGUUCCGACCUGCACGAAUGGCGUAAUGAUGGCCAGGCUGUCUCCACCCGAGACUCAGUGAAAUUGAACUCGCUGUGAAGAUGCAGUGUACCCGCGGCAAGACGGAAAGACCCCGUGAACCUUUACUAUAGCUUGACACUGAACAUUGAGCCUUGAUGUGUAGGAUAGGUGGGAGGCUUUGAAGUGUGGACGCCAGUCUGCAUGGAGCCAACCUUGAAAUACCACCCUUUAACGUUUGAUGUUCUAACCUAGGCCCAUAAACUGGGUCGGGGACCGUGUCUGGUGGGUAGUUUGACUGGGGCGGUCUCCUCCUAAAGAGUAACGGAGGAGCACGAAGGUUGGCUAAGCAUGGUCGGACAUCAUGCGGUUAGUGCAAAGGCAUAAGCCAGCUUGACUGCGAGAGUGACGGCUCGAGCAGGUACGAAAGUAGGUCUUAGUGAUCCGGUGGUUCUGAAUGGAAGGGCCAUCGCUCAACGGAUAAAAGGUACUCCGGGGAUAACAGGCUGAUACCGCCCAAGAGUUCAUAUCGACGGCGGUGUUUGGCACCUCGAUGUCGGCUCAUCACAUCCUGGGGCUGAAGUAGGUCCCAAGGGUAUGGCUGUUCGCCAUUUAAAGUGGUACGCGAGCUGGGUUUAGAACGUCGUGAGACAGUUCGGUCCCUAUCUGCCGUGGGCGUUGGAAGAUUGAGAGGGGUUGCUCCUAGUACGAGAGGACCGGAGUGAACGCACCACUGGUGUUCGGGUUGUCAUGCCAAUGGCAUUGCCCGGUAGCUAAGUGCGGAAGAGAUAACCGCUGAAAGCAUCUAAGCGGGAAACUUGCCUCGAGAUGAGUCUUCCCUGUCGCUUUAAGCGACCUAAAGGAACGUUUAAGACUAAGACGUUGAUAGGCUGGGUGUGUAAGCGUAGCGAUACGUUGAGCUAACCAGUACUAAUGAACCGUGAGGCUUAACCUG